rnacentral:misc_RNA from 1 species
GUGAAUCAUCGAAUCUUUGAACGCACCUUGUGCCUUUUGGUAUUCCGAAAGGCAUGCCUGUUUGAGUGUCAUGAAAUCUCAAUCCCCCCUGGGUUUAUGAUCUGGUUUGGGGCUUGGACUUGGGUGCUGCCAGCUACAUGGCUCGCCUCAAAUGACUUAGUGGAUCUCUCUGCAUCUGUGACAGACGUAAUAAGUUUCGUCUUGUCCCUUGCUGUCUGAGUCUGCUCCUAACCUGCCAUUGCGCACUUUUUAGACUCUGACCUCAAAUCAGGUAGGACUACCCGCUGAACUUAAGCAUAU